rnacentral:tRNA from 1 species
GCACAGUUAGCUCAGUGGUAGAGCAUCUCGUUGACGUCGAGAGGGUCAGAGGUUCAAGUCCUCUACUGUGCACCA